rnacentral:lncRNA from 1 species
AAAGAUUUAAAAAUCCUACUUAUUUAAAAAUACUAAUAUUAAAUUCAUUAACAGUUUUAUUUCUUUGCAAAUUUUUCAAUUCUGGUUAACAACUCUUCAUUCCUGCUAAAACAUGGCUAACUGGAGGCGCUGAAAGAAUUGGUGCUCGUACAACUGGAUUCUGCCAGAGAGCGAAUCUUGAUGAAUGAUUUUGUAACUUCUUACGAUGACUACAAAAAUGCGGAUUCUGCCUAUAAAGACUUGAUCAAGCAUGCGAGUAUUUUGCCUCCCCUCCCCCACCUCCGCUGCAGCCGGGAGGAUUAGCUGGCGCCACUGCGAUAAGGUAUUGUUAAUUUUUUUUGCAUUUUCAUUUGUUAAAGAUGGAAUCUCGGUAUUGAAGGACGAAGGAACAGGGAGGAGUUGGGGGUUCUUUACGCCAACGGAACUGCUAAGUAUCGCGUGGAUUUCUCCUGUUCCUCUCUUGCUUCUUCUCAUGAUCGCCCGGCGAACAUCGUUUUCUUGAUGACUUCGUCAUGCGUUGAGUUGUGUUUUUGUUGUAGAAUUUCUUCAUGCUGACGAUGAGCAUAAUUACAUUUGUUCUUCUCUUUUGUAUUUCUUGAUGGAUUAGGGUUUUUCUACGCGAUAACAACAAUUCAUCUGGUUGUAUGGUGUUGGGAUAGAAAAUAAAACUUCUUUUGUUCUUGACUGCUUUCUAUCCAUCUUCAAGAAUUAUAUAAAAUUAGAAGAUUAAAGAAUUUUAUUAAAAUUAGUAAAAUUAACCUAAUUAGAAAUUGAGGUAUAAAAGAGGCUGUUCUGCUUCUGUUUCACUCUAGCAGCCGCAGCACUGAGAAACCCUAGAGAGAUCUUGCAGGAACCACUCACCAUGGUUAGAGAUAUUUUCUUUCUCCUUAUUUUCUGCAAUUUCAUCGAAGCUCUUCUUCCUUUUUUUCAUUUUUCGAUCGAUCUUUUUCUCUGCAGACGUUUAAGCGCAGGAAUGGAGGUCGCAACAAGCACGGUCGUGGCCACGUCAAAUUCAUUCGUUGCUCCAACUGUGGCAAAUGCUGUCCUAAGGUUUUUAAUAUGUACCAAAUUUAGAAUCUAAUUAUGAUAAAUCAACUAUAUUCUAACUAGAUGUAAAUUAAUAACUUUGACCAACAAUAAAAAUAAAAAUUAAAUUUAGUUAUACGAAAAAAAAAGGAAAAAGUAAUUAUAAAAGUAAUCAAAAUCAUUAUUUUUUAAAUAAUGAAACUACUCCUCCAAAGUUCAAAAUUACGAUAUCUUUUAAAAUAAGAAGUAAGUCAACA